CUGUGGGUUGACUCUUCAGACUAACGGUAACGUCAGCUCUGCCCGUCGUCUCUUCUUGCUCUCUCCGUUAAGCUUCGUGGCUUAAAAUGACCGUUGCUGGAGCACUUCCACCAGACCUCGACACGGAGCGGUCUGCUGCCAUCCACAGACAGCUCCAUCUCCGAGGGGGAGGGUGUGUUGAGGCUGUCACCUGAACGAGUGGGCAGUGUGUGUAGGCGGGGAUCAUCCAGUCACCGGCGGUGCGGAGGAACACGGAGGAGUAACGGCUGAGGAGCGGUUCUCACAUCAAGAGUAGCGCGAGCGUUGGUCGGUUACGUUACAUGUACUCGUUACUACUUGUCAGUCGGUGCAAGUGUAACCUAGAUGCUCUGAUUCAAUAGCUGCAGUAUCAACCUCACAGGAGGAGUCCCGCCUCCUUCACUCUGAUUGGUUGGCAGUGGUACCAACGUCUAGAAUCUACAGCGUCUGAUUGGCAGACCGUGUUCGGGACAGUGCUUAACUUCAGAGGUUGCGCUGUUCAUCCCUCAUUUCAAGAUUUAAGAAUUCAUUAAUUAAAGUUUUAUAAUUUAAAUAGUCUUUAACAAUAAAAAAAACAAGUCAAACCAGCAAAAUAGUAUGUAAAAAAACAAAGGAGCUGGUUUCAGCCUCUCAAACAUGAGGGUCUCCUGUUUUUCCUUUGAAUUAUUUCAGUUCAUUAAAUUGAUUUAAAUAUUUAUGCACCGAGUACUUUUGCUUUUAAUACUUAAAUACAUUCUCCUGCUUGCACGUUUAUAUUUUUAUGUAAGUAAUAUUUUCAAUGCAGGACUUUUACACUGCACUGUAACUUUAAACCCUGUGUUUCAUAACUGUCUUAGCUUAUUUUUAUUUUCUAUUCUUUCACUCUUUUAAUGGCAUUUUUUAAAUUGUAUUUAAAUGUCCUUUUGAAUUGCCUUGUAGCUAAAAUGCCUUGCCAAGUAACAGAGUAUUUUUACAGUGAUAUUACUACUUUUAUUGAAGUAGAGGAUCUGAAUACUUCCUCUACAACUGCAUCUUAAUAAUACAAAUGUGAUAAUAUUGUGGAGAUGAUCCAGUGCCCCCACCAUUUCCAUUUCUUUCCUUUCUCUCCGUCUCCUCCACCCAACACCAUCUGGUUCCCUUUUCACUAUCUAUUAAGUGUAGUUGCUCUUUUUGUACUAUUUUGUAGUUAUGGUUACAGACUCUCUCUCAACCUACUUUCACUCGUAUUUUGGGUACGAUUCAUUUGCCAAAAAAGAAAUAAAAGGCACAAUAAAAAAGUUAAAGAUGAAUUUGACUUAGAGCAUUUUUCCCUAAAUUUUCUAUACAUCAGUUGGCCACAAUAAAACUCCACCGUGCCAGCCCUAAUACAAACUAUAUGAUCAAUUUUUAAAAUAUGAUGCAAUGUUAUUGAUUAAAUAUUGAUGACAGAGUAAACUAACCCGAGUUAGAGUUAAGAACUGAGCCAUUUAAGUCGCUUAAUAAAAUUUAAUUGACAUAGGUUUCAUGAAUGUCCAACCUUUUUUUCCUGUUAUAAAAAAAAACAUUUCAGAACAGCAUCUGAUGGGUAAAAAAAUCUAUUAUCUACAAUGAAAAAACAAAAACACUUAGGUGGACUGAGCGAUGAAGAAAUAACUACAUGGAGAAAAAUGUGUCAUGAUAAAAACACAGUCAUGUUUUCCUACAAACACUAUGUCUAACCACGAAAUUGUAUAAAAUGCAUCCACAGUAUUGGGCAAAUUAGUAAGUACAUCCAAUAAACACUGGGGAAGAAAAGAAAUUCUGUACAAUAUCUUCACAUUAUUAUCACAUUUCAGCUUCUGCUCGGUGGAUGCAGGUUGGAUUUAUGGUGCUGAGUCCAUCCCCCAUAGUGCAUGGGAUGAAAAAAAAAGAAAUGUCAAAAUACAGGGCAUCACAUAAAAGA